AAGACUAUACUUUCAGGGAUCAUUUCUAUAGUUGUAGACUGGAGAAAUGAGUUUCUAAAGUGAUUGGUCGCGCCAACCGCGAGGAUGAGAUACGGUGUCCUUUUCUGAGCGUGAAGGGGAUAGAGGAUUAUGGGUGUUUUUUCAUAAUCCUGUAUCAUUGAUGAUCGUUCUUGAUUUUCUGCGAGAAAUCAGAAGGGAAAGGACACGUUCUGAGUGGUU
ensembl:snoRNA small nucleolar RNA U3